rnacentral:rRNA from 1 species
GACGAACGCUGGCGGCGUGCCUAAUACAUGCAAGUUGAGCGCUGAAGGUUGGUACUUGUCCCGACUGGAUGAGCAGCGAACGGGUGAGUAACGCGUGGGGAAUCUGCCUUUGAGCGGGGGACAACAUUUGGAAACGAAUGCUAAUACCGCAUAAAAACUUUAAACACAAGUUUUAAGUUUGAAAGAUGCAAUUGCAUCACUCAAAGAUGAUCCCGCGUUGUAUUAGCUAGUUGGUGAGGUAAAGGCUCACCAAGGCGAUGAUACAUAGCCGACCUGAGAGGGUGAUCGGCCACAUUGGGACUGAGACACGGCCCAAACGCCUACGGGAGGCAGCAGUAGGGAAUCUUCGGCAAUGGACGAAAGUCUGACCGAGCAACGCCGCGUGAGUGAAGAAGGUUUUCGGAUCGUAAAACUCUGUUGGUAGAGAAGAACGUUGGUGAGAGUGGAAAGCUCAUCAAGUGACGGUAACUACCCAGAAAGGGACGGAUAACUACGUG